AAGUUUGGGGUGGUUUGUCAUGCAGCAGUGGACAACUGAAAACAGAAAGCAGAGAUGGAGGAAGAGGAGAGGAAAUGUAAGCCUUAAACACCAAAACGCCUCCCGACGGAGACAAGGAGCAGGUCCAAGUUCAGAGUAAUUAGAUGCAAAGUGGAGAAGGCUCUGGACAGCACUCAGGGAGGGGCAGCACCGAGAACUGCUCAGUCACCGGUCCUUCUCCAUCUCCAGGCACAAACAUGGAGUAGCUGGAAGCAGGGUGUUCACACGCAGCAUUAAUCAGGAAGCCGGCUCUCUGGAAAAGCUUGCUCAUUGGUUCACCACCUGCUUGAAGAAACUGGCCUAAAGGUGGGCAACAGAAAGGAGAAGGGGGAAGGAAAGAUCGGUAAGGACUACACAAGCUCUACGUUUUACGACCAGCUCCAAGCCCUGCAACCCGACUGGAUGGCCUUGCAGUGCUGUUAGGAGCACUUGGAGUUGCAAGUGAUAGAAUGUGUAACUCAUGCUGGGCUUCAGCCGUGAAGACAUCUGAAAAUCUGACACAACAAGCAUCCUGGAGAAAGAAGUUUCCCUGUGUUGCUGCCCCAAUAGAAUCGGGUCUUACAGACCAGGAAGACGAGAUCAGAGGGCGCACCUGUGCGUGAUGAGGAAGGACCUGGAGCUACACCGGGCAUCCCAGACUUCUUCGUGCCUCGAGUCUCCAAGUUUCCCAUAUCUUUGGAAUUACUAGAAAAGGCCAAUCCUGCAUGAGAUCUCUGAUUGCUUGUGAGUCUGAUGGAAAAACUCCGACUUUCUGUGUUCUCUCAGAAAGCUGGAUCAAAGGAAUGUUACUGCCUGAGAAGACCUUCGAGAUUGGAGAAGUCCACAGGUCCAGAAGAAGGACUCGUAGGCCAAGUCAGAAGAAAAUAUUCUUUCUACACGGAGACGAGUUGUGUCUGAGGAAGAGCUGUGGCCUCUCUCUCCUCUUCCUGAAGAACGGUCUGACAUCUAGUGAUGGAGUCAGACGUAAAGAAGAGAGAGACAAUCCAUGAAACAUCCAGGUAGCCCACCGCCACUCGGAGCCCAAGACAGAGGGGACGGUCCAGGCGGCAGGGGAGGGGAGGGGCUCAGGGAAACGUCCUGCUGGAGUCUGAGGAGACACGAAAGCAGAUAGGACAGAGGAGAAGGAUGAAAGGACACAGGAGAAGGCCCUGAUCUGGCUGAGUGGGGAGAGCGGACCGUGGGGAAUCUGGGACAGGGGAGGUCAGCAUAGUGAGAGGCCAGGCUGUGGAAAGAUGGUAGAGAUGCAAGCUGCUUUGGACUAGGGGUGACCCUCUGCCUGUCUGCUCUUUAAUUCCUAGGGGCAUGCUUCCAGAAAAGUCUUCUCAGAAAGCCUCCAGAAAACCCUCAGAAACCACUGACCCUAAACAAGGAGGGCAACCUCCCCUGGGUGUUUAGGGCCUAGGCCAACCAUACCUUUCUGAAAUGUGUUGAUGCUCAAUUGGAAACAAGUGAAGUGUGGGAAGAAAAUUACUACGUCAGCUCAGAGAUCUUAGAACUAAUUCUCUGCUCUGUGUUGGUGCUAGAGUGAAGAUUGGGACUAGUCUGAGAUUUACAAGAAGGGCAACCUUGGGUCCUUCUGACUCUUACCCUCCCCUUCUUCCCUGGAGCUCAGACUAGGGUCACAGGCAUAGUUACAGCCUUAUGAGCCGAGGGUAUGAUUUCACAUGCUUAUCAGCCUCUGCGGGACACGUGAGUCUUUUCUGCCUUUAGCUUCUUGACCUUAGCUUCUAUUUAUACCUACAAUGCUCAUCCUUUCAAAUCGAGGGUAAUCCAAUAGCAGCUACAUUUUCAUGCUCUCCUGGAAUAUAAAAAUCUGAAGGACAUAAUAAUUGCCUUUUAUAUUUUUUAAAUGUCUUCUCUGUCUUUGGCAUUAAAUAAAUUUCCAAAAUAGAUCUCUUCCUCCUUCUUUCUCCUGCCUGCCUUUCAAGAGUUUUACUAAAUGUUUUUUUUGCCAAUAGGUCUUUUUCUUAUAAGUCCUCGCAUUUGUUCUAAUUAUAAACUAGCACACAUGGUGACAUAUAUUACUUUCCUAGGCUGAGCUCCAGAAAGCAAUGACAAGCAAAGAAAGAAAAGCUCCGUAAGGAAGCUGAAUUUAGUCUCGGGCAUGGCAAAUUGCCUUUGCUGCUGCAUUUUUUUAAAUCCAAAAAAGAAGUUUUAUUUCUAGCUGAGUAGGUCCCAGUGGGUUUCCCCCUCCUACUACAUUAUUAGCUUCUUUGGGGCACGUAAUGUGUUCUAAUCGUCUUUGCAAUCUCAUGUGUAGUGCCUUGCACCUAGGGGCACGUAGUGAGUGUUGACCUGAAUUAAGUUGCAUUUAGUCAAAUGACAGGUGAUCCCUAAUAGCAGCUCAGAGAAAGGCAAAGAAAUAAACCAUCUUAUGGCGUGGGCAUGCUACUGCCCUUGCCAUAGCUUACCACUUAGCUAACUCAAAAACUGUAUGUAGGCACAUCUCAGAGUAUUUUGACUUAAAAAAAAAUGACCCUUUCUUACCCUCAAAUAAAAAAGUAAGGAGAGAACUCACUCACAAUCCCAUCCCACUGCAAAAUACCAUUUUAAUAACAGUGGUUAUAAACCUCCAGUCUUUUAUGUGCAUAAUUCAGACAUUUAAACAAGAUGUGUACUCUGAGCCCAUAGGGCAAAAUGGGAGGCUGGACACUCAGCAUUAUGGGUUUAGAACAUUCUCUCAUAUCAGUAGACACUCUUCAGUAGACAUUUUUUGCCCCAUUACAUGAUUGAUUGUUCAAUAAUUUACUUCACCAAUCAUCUGUCCAGGUUGUUUUCAUUUUUAAAAAGUAUAAUGGUUUGAUAUCCUUGUUGUUCUUAAAUUCUGUACCCAGCUCUUGUUUCUUCAGGAUAUAUUACCAUAGGUAGAAUUGUUGAAACAAAAGCUAUCUAGAUUUUAAACUAUGGACAAACAUUUCUGAAUCGCUUUUUUUUUUUUAAAGAUUUUAUUUAUUUAUUGGAGAGAGAGAGCAUGAGCGGGAGAGGCAGAGGGAGAAGCAGACUCCCCACUGAGCAGGGAGCCUGAUGCGGGGCUCAAUUCCAGGACCCUGAGAUCAUGACCUGAGCUGAAGGCAGACACUUAACCAACUGAGCCACCCAGGCACCCCUUCUGAAUCACUCUUAAGAAAGGUUAUACUUCUGUGCAUUCCAUGUUCGUGUCCUUUGUCUGUUAAAAAAAGGAGAUGGGUGGUGUUUGUCUUAUUGAUUUAUAAGGGCUCUUUAUAUGUGAAGGAUACUUCCCUUUUCAUAAAAUCAUAAAUUAUACAUUUUUCCUGGUUUGUUUUUUUACUUCUAAGAAUAUUAUGCUUUAUUUGUAGAUGAACAGAACUUUAACAUUUUAUGUAGUCAGAUCUGCCAGUAUUUUUAUUAAUGGAUUUAGUCUUUGGUGUUCUGUUCAGAAAGGCAUUCCCCACCUCAAAACCAGAUCAUUUCACUUGCACUUUAUUUUGGUUGUUUUAUGUCUUUUUUUCUUUUUCUUCUUUUUACUGUCAUCUUUUAUAUGUAUAGAUUUAUUCUUGCAGGUAUAUAUUUUGGUGUACAAAAUGAAAUAUAAUCUAACUCCAAUAAAAAUAUAUAC